UACGUAGGUGGCAAGCGUUGUCCGGAAUUAUUGGGCGUAAAGCGCGCGCAGGCGGUCAUUUAAGUCUGAUGUGAAAGCCCACGGCUCAACCGUGGAGGGUCAUUGGAAACUGGGGGACUUGAGUGCAGGAGAGAAGAGUGGAAUUCCACGUGUAGCGGUGAAAUGCGUAGAGAUGUGGAGGAACACCAGUGGCGAAGGCGACUCUUUGGCCUGUAACUGACGCUGAGGCGCGAAAGCGUGGGGAGCAAACAGG
rnacentral:rRNA from 1 species